CCUAAAGGGGCUGCAGGAAACCUGGAGAGGGGCUUUUGAUAAGGGCCUGUAUAGACAGGACAAGGGGCAAUGGCUUUAACUUAGCCAUGUCUGGAACUGAAAGCUGAAGUCAGGUGUUGAAUUCAUGGGAACUUGAUGUGCUGGAGUGUGACUCACUGGAUGAAAGCAAGCAAAAGCUCCAUAAAAAUGUGCUUUAUUACAUGGGUUAAAAUGUUUCUGAAGAAGCGUCUGUGAAAGCAGAUGCUGCAGUAUUUUCCUUUAAUUGCCAUUGGUCCAACAAUUCAUCUGCCUCUGACAGGUCUUCCAGAACACACGAUCCUCCCAAGAAAUCCAAGCCUAUGAAUCAUAGUCAAAACAUGGAAACAACAGCAAGGUGGAAGUUGGGCUCCUGUGGAGAGUUCCAUUUGUCUCUGCACACUCAAGGAUGGAGCUUGUGCUGCAGAAGUUAUAAACCUGACAACAGGAGGAGGGAUAGGUCACCAGAUUUAUCUGAGGCUUGGAAACUGAAUGACCUUAAUGGACGAUGCUUUGCCAUGAGCCACAAACCUGCCGAUGUUUAGGAGCCAGGUCUCCUGCUUCAGCCUGUUUCUCAAGGUUGGUGGUCCAAAGGCUGAAGUGGAGGAAGGAGCUCUAGUAUCCAGAAGGACGUUGACCUCUCAUCGGGAUCCUCCUCUGUGGGAUCUGGCGGCUUGCCGGCUGCCUUCGGUACGCAGGGCUCUCCCCUGGCAGAACCAGUAUGGACUGCUGGCCCGAGUUCCUCUGAGACUCGAAGAUGCUUUGCUCUGCCGCGCUCCUCUCCGAACAGGUAGACCCGGGCAUCGGCAGCAGGCGACCCAUCCUCAAGAGAAACCUUCCCAUGAAGGGUCGCAUCCUCGCACAUGCAGGCAUCGCAGUCAGCAUUGACACGGCCCAUGGGGCAGGUGAUGUUGCAGGCUGGAGGAGAAACAGGCAGGGACGCAGGAGUCAGCCCCUGCUCUGCAAGCCUCAGCAUCACUGCCUUGUGCCAUCCACUUGGAGGGGAAAACGAUCUUCCUGGAAGUUUUCUUUAAAAGACCAAGUGAAGAAAACCUCUCUCUGAGCGUCCAUGUUUUUGUGCUUUGAUUCUCCCCAGCAGGUAAGAGAGCUGUUGGGAAUGGGACAGAAAGCUGGGAAAGUCCCUUAAUCCCUCAGCUAUGGUGUCAGCACGUCCAGCACUUACAGUGCCUGCUGGAAUCUAAAUCCUGAGCCCGGGGCAGUAAAGGUUAAAGGGUUGUGAUGUCUCCUUGGGGUUAAGGAGCAGACUGGGCUCUACAGGUAGUUAAUACCCCACAGGCUUUCAUUCUAUAUGGUGUCACCAACUGCAUGGGGACAGGCUGGGAAGGGGAAGGGCAAGUCAGAGCAUGUUCUUGCCCAUCCCUGGGCUCUCCUCGCCCUCCCAGCCCGCGCGUGCUUCCCGCGGGAGCCGGGGCUGUGGUCAUGCACUUGACCUUCACUUUUCCAGGAGAGGAGCCAACAGCGUGUGUCAGCGAUAGCUAGAACCCUACAGGAGGUCGCGGAUGGUUAGCAUUUAUUCCAUUGCUUAAAUGUCCUCAUCUACCCAAAUAAUAGUGUUUGGCUGUAAAUUGAGGCUGAAAAAACCCUAAUACGUGUGCAAACACCCCUUGUCCUGAUGAGGGAAAGCCACCCCAGCUGGGAACAACUUACUCUCCAAGCUGAGCAUUACCAGCGGGCUGAAGGUUUUCUGUCCUAUCUGGAUCCUGCCAAGGGCUGGUUUCAGAAGCCUUUGACCUAAGGGUUAAUGAAUGAGAGAUUAAAUUGGAUUAACAAUAAA